AAAAAAAAACAGGAAUUAAAAUAAUUUAGAUUUUGAGUGAUUGUUUUGAUGAUGGGUCUAGGUUGGGUCUGCAGCUCUGUAGCCUGGGAUCACACUCGUCCUGAGGAGCAGGAGAAGGCAGAAGGGUUAGGCUGCGUUCAGGGGCCCAGUGCCAAGCCUUACUCAUUUGGAAAGAGAACACUGGAUGAGAUUUUAAGCACUCUAAAUGUAUUUCACUUUGACAAUCAAGAGCUCUGCUGUGCGCUUUCAGAAGAUGUUUACACUCUUACCCCAUUACCAGCUUUAAUGUCUGCAGUCACUGCUUAACAUCCCCAGAACAGAAAGUUUGCACACGAGAACCCAAAAAAGGACAUUACGCGCCUAAAAGGCUUCAGAAGCUGAAGCUCAGAGUUCAGAUCCAACCUCCCUCUUUCCCUCUCUGGCUGCUGAAUUCUCCAAAACAAGGAAGUGCUCCCCAGACCCACAUGUUGGUGGAUUGGAGACCCCAGGAGAUGCCACUGCUUGGGAAGCGUGCCUCAUCUCAAAACCAACUGUGGUACAAAUGCUCCCUGUUUGGGGCCCAUUUGGUGUCCUGCCCUGGCCCUGGGUACCAGGGCUGCCAAAUUCCUUCAAGGGACAGGGAGCACCGCUGAGGGCAGAUGCUAUCAGAAGCACUGGCACCAGCCUGUCAUCAGAGCCACACAAGGUUUCUAAGCACUGUGACUAGAAAUACCCUAUCCUUGCCCCCCUGUCCUAGAUGCCUAGCCUAUAUCUAAACCCUGCUGGGAUCCAAAACCAAAGCAGAAUAGCACAUGAGUCAGCAGGGCCCCGUGCCGUAGGUGUAUCUCGAGUGCCAGUAAUACCACAAGCAAGGCCUGCUGUGAAAGACGGGCACAGCUGCUGCUUAAAGCACGGGUGGACAGGGCUGGGUGCUGAGUGCCAAAGGCUUUGCCCACUGUCCUGCAGACGUGGGUGCAGUUCCCUCCAUGGCCGUGCAGCAGUCCAUGUGUCUCUUAGCUGAGUGCUUUGACCACCAGACUCAAGGCCGCGUUCGCUGGGCUCUGAGGAAGGCUCUCAGUGGUGCUGCAAGGAUUGGGUGGUUGUGACAAGGGACUUGCUGCCACCAUUGGUUGUCAGUCACAGUGUGUUGUUGUGGCUCACCGGAGUCCUGCUUUGUAGCAUAGAAGCAAAUGUACAGAGGAAUUUUUGCCUGUUUUUUUUUUUUUAUUUAUUAUUAUUAUUACUUUUAUUCUCCAUGAAGUCUUUUUUUGCAGAUCUGCAACAGUCAACCGGUAUUUAGGGGAAGUAUCUGAGAACUAAAUGAAACCAUUUGGCCCUAGAUGAGAGACACGCAUUCUCCAUUUAGGAUUUCAAAGUAAACCAGUGGUCAAAUAUUUUCGUUGUCCCAUAUCCAACAGUUAUUGCUUCUUUAUCCAUCAAGCUUAUGCAAUUUUCCAGCCGCGUUAACAGAAGAGAGGAUACUUUGCACGCCCAUAACAGCUUCCUUUGAAUGAUCUCAAACGCUGUAAGCUUUGGGCCUCCAAAGCAUGAGAUAGUAUUCCUGCUGCCUCCAUUUUGCAGGAAUGCAAAGCAUGUGCUGGGCAGGCACUGGGACAGCAUGGAUCAAGUCUGGGCCAGAACUCUGAAGGAAUCCUUCCUGAGACAGCAAGAUGAGCAGAGACAGCUGGUUAGAAGAACAACAACAACAAAAACACAUCAUCAUUCCUGCUUUGGCUCCAAAAAAUCUUGGACUUGCUGUCAAGGAAGAAAGCUAUGUAUGUAAGGAGCCAAAAAAGAGACAAAUAUUAUUGAAUUUGGUAGCAUUUUAGUGAAUGUGCUGGAAAUAACUUAAGUAGGAAGAAAAACUGGAUGCGCUCCAUUGUUUAUUAAAAGAAUGCCUCCUCUUAUUUCCACUGGAACCUAUAGCCCAUAUUGUCAUUAACACAUUUACGAGAUGUAUAUUUAAAAUAUGUUGCUUCACUCAUCAAUCUUAUGGGCUCUUCUUGUAAAGAAGAGUUACAGCGCAUAAAAAUAUGUACUGCCAUAUAAAUAUAGUAGCUGCAAGCUAGAGGUGCCAACCGAGAAUACAGCUCCUUCAAUCAAGGAAGAUGGGUGUAGUAUGAAGACAAUUACAGAGAUCAGAAAUACUAGAAAAGGAGGAGAAGAGAAAAUCAGAUUUCCACUAGUGGGAAAAAAAGAGAUUUUUUAAAAAAGAAGAAGAAGAUGUUUAAAAUACAAAGAGAAAUUCUGGAUGAAGAACAAUCUGAGCUGCAGUGAAUAGCAAAAUCAGAGAUGAGUUUUCUGACAAGACUGCAGAAUAAUGCAGUGACCUUCUGGUCUGCACAGAGGUAGCACAGUCUUUCUCUUACAGGUUUUCAUGUGAACAAAACUUGAACUUUCUGCUUGGCUCCUGGACAGCUCUAUUUCCCCAAGCUCUGGGCCAAACUGAGGUGAGACUGCUGGGAAGAGUUUAAGAAAUGAAAAGCUAUGCAGUCUGGCUAACUCCAAAGAGAAAUGAUUUGAGGUGGAUAUUCCAGGAGCAUUAGGUAGGCCCAAAUAUUGUGUCAUAAAUACUGCCCUGUGCAGCAGGAAAGGUCUUGAUGUAGAUUUGCAGACUCAGAAGGUCUCUUCCAUGGAGUGCUUCAAAAUCCUCAGCUGUCUGCUACAGUAGUCAUAAGGAGUUUAAAGCCUCAUGGAAGGAAAAUGUUUCAGAUGCUAUGACCAUUUUGACAAACUAGCUUCUAAACAGAGAAUGAAAGUGGAUGGCCAAAAGAUAAGGAUGUGGCUCCUGGGUCUCUGGUUAUUGGUUGCCAGCUUUGUUCAUUCUCAACAUAGCAAGAAGGCAGCCUAUGUACCAUCAUUUUCAUCGUAGGAAACUGGGGUUAAGUCUCCUGCUCUGCAACAGAGCAGAUGUGGAACCUUGGGAAAGUUGCAGAUUAAGCUAAGUUGGAAACAGCUUCCUCCAUUUGCAGUAUCUUAGAGAGUCUGGAAACUUUCCCAUCUCUACUGUGACAAAAACAAUUCUCAAAAAUUUUGGAAGACUUUUCUUCCUUGUAGUAAAGGACAAAAAACACACAACGAUAAACAAAUCUGAGCUCCAGCACCAUCUGAAAAUCAGGGCACUAUUCUGCUUUAAUUCCCCAUCUUGCCAGCUUCAGCUCCAAGACCCGACCUGCAGUCUCCCAGCCACCCCCGUAGUGACCAUGCCACGACAAAGGACCAUCUUGGCCAGAAAUUCCACACAAAAAAUUCCUAGACUGUCUUGCUGAAAUUGAUACAUUCCCACAUACACAACAUGAAAGGAAUCAUGUCUAACAAAUAUUUUAUAAUGAAAAACAUUUACCCAGCACGUUCCUACCCAGCAACUCUGAGGGUCUGUGACUCAGUACACAACCUAUAAAAAGGAGACAACUUUACUUCCCAGGCUCUGGAAGAAUACAAUUGCAUAAUAAACCAUGGACUUGCUCACUCCAUCAACUACUCUAAGAUCUUCAGAUACCUUAUAAGAUGUAAAUAUAGCCUGAAUUGGGACCUGCUAUAACUCACAUGUUUAACCUUCACCAACAGCAACUCUACCCAAGGGUUGCUCCAAUUCCUCUGUGGGACACAGAAGUGAUGCAGCAUGCCCCAGCAGCCCUGGACUCAGCCAUCCCCAGGAAUUAGGAUUGCCAAAGAGCCAGCCCAGCCCCGCUGCCAGUGGGGUGACAGAUCCCUGGCACUAGAGCUACACUUGUGCUGCUCAUGAGCUGCUUGUGGCUGGAGAGGAAUGUCUGCAGAGAGCUAAACCAGAUUGCUCGUAGAUCUCUUCCAAAUGGCUUGCCUCUAAUCUAGCAGAUAAUUAGAGAGUAAACGUACCCUGGGAGCUCCAUCUUUCCCCCUGCUGCAGUAUAGUAACUUGAUAGGAAACAUAAGAAUGUUGAGUUUGUGCACAGAUAUUAAGGGGUGGCUGCACUGGAGAAAUCUUGGACGUUGCUGACACCUUGAGCAGUGCAAAAAAUGUCAGAGCCUGCUGCAUGUAUUCUUUCACUUCUCAUAUGACACAUUUGCGUCAGUUACUUGUUGGAUUCUAUAGACCCACUGCAUCCACUGCAGCAGCACAGCAAUGACCCAAACAAGAGCUGGGACUCCAGACUGAGCCUGUGAAUACAAAGCUUACAAAUAUUUGCUCAGAGACCUUUUAGAAAGGGUCAGAUGGUUUCAAAACUUCAACAAAAACUGACAUUUUGACAUCAUUUGUAUUUUUCAGGCCCACACCUACCACAGGGAGGGAAAAAAAAAAUGAGUUUUCAGUUGGUAUUUCCAUUAUCCUGCCUACAUUUCAACCAAUUGCUUCCAGCAUUUGCAGAAAUUCUGGACGCCCAUCUCACAUGUCCAGCAUCUCACUCUUCCCAAGCGUAGGCUGAAAAAUGCCACUUUCUUCCACUAUUAAGUGUAAAGCUGACUACACCCAUGUGUCAGCUGUUUACCACCCUCUGUCCCCUCCCUUUGGGCAGCUGACCAGGGAAAAUGACCUAUACUCUUGAAGCAUUCAUUUUAUUUAGUAUUACAGAGAAGGAGGGUUGAAGGCAACAAGCCACCUAAGAAUAUAAUCAUUCCCACCAUAUCUUAUUACAAUUAGAGGGAUCAGCUUGCCUCUUUGCUUGUGGGAACACAACAGAACCAGCCAGACUUCAUCUGGGCUCUUUUCUGCUCUGCUUAGGCUUAACCAGACUGGUUCCAUUCAUGCUUUACCUUCAGGUAUGAACAGAAAGCUACUUAGUCUUGCCUUAGCUGCAUUGACUGCUCUGAAGAUGCCUAUGUGAGAUGACCAUUUUGCACAAGCAAUACCACCACAGAAUCCAAAUGUCAGGAAGCCUUUGAGAGUGCCACGAUUUUGUCACCGUCACCCUGAGAGUUGCACCAAUUGACGCUGCUGGUGUUGAGCACCACGAGGACCUGGGAGUGGUGCACACCCUGCGUUGAGCCUCACCCCACAAUGAGACAGGCAGGCAAUUGAGAAAAAUAGCACCCUGGCCCCUUCCUGCAGUUAGAUCAUUAUAAUGGGUAAAUAUUUUCUUAGAUAGAGAGCUGAGAUAAGGGACUUCAGAUCUCUGAAAUGGAAUUUGAACUCAGAAGGACUAUCCCUACCUUGUAGUUCUUCGUAACAUGCUUUUACCAGUCGAAUGCCUUCUUCCCCAAAAUAGCUGGGAAAUUAAGUGGGAACUUCUUAAUAGCUAAAGGUGAAGGCAUGCAUCUCAUGGAAUAAAAUAACCUUGAAUAACAAAAGCAGCAUAAGAAGAGCAGUUUUAGGCAGUAGGGAGAAUGUUCACCAUGAGAUAAAUAGAACUGAUUUUGUAACAGGUACCAAGGGUUAAUUCCCAGACAUCAUUACAGCUCUACACCAUUCAGACUAAAUAUGUACUGAGGAGUAAAGAGAAGUCUCUGAGUUGCAGAGCCAGAGUCCUAGAACCUGGCUUCGUGAACUCACUUCAAUGAGAGCCUGUCGCAGUAGAGAAAAAUGAUUGUGAUUUUAAAAAAGAUUAAAAUCACUGUUCUUGUGCUACAGCGAAGAAUGAUUAGUCAUUCCUUGUUCCUUUCUCUGCAUUAUUCCCCAACCUCUUUUAUAAGGGCUGCUCCAAAAGUAAUGCCUCCUAUUUUACAAUGUUGGCUCAUCUUGCCAGAGGUGGAUGUUGGUGGGAUGGCAGUAGAGGUUGAACCUUACAAUCAAUAUCCUGUUACAUUAUGUGGCCAUGUGGCAGAUGGCAGCAGGGGUGCAGUCUGAAAAAAUGGCAUCUGGAAGCACAUAUGGAGCAAAGGUGUAGGAAUGAAUUCCUCCAUGCAGAAAAAAUAGCACCCAUUGACAUUCAUUGAUGCUCACUGAAAAUUUUUGGAGACUAAAUAGUGAGGCAGUGGGUGGUGUAUUCCAGCUGUAGUGACAGAGAUGUGUAAGACAAGCCAUGUUCCUGAUAGCCACACACUGUUGGUGCAGAUUUUUAUGAGCAUGGCAUACAGGUUCUUGUUCAUCACUAGCAAAAAUGCACAGCUAGUAGUGGUGGCUGUGUUGCAAAGUAGUAUGUCAUAGCUGAAAAUGUCCUCUAUUAAAAAAUGUUAAUAUGUUCUUGGUAUCUGUUGUAGUUUCCCUUCCCCUUGGUGUUCCAAUCCCAUUAUGAGCUUUCUCAGGCUUUGCACUUUUGAAUUGGAGGUGCUGGUUUAUGAGCCUCCUUAGUGGCAGGUUGUCUUUGAGGAACAAGUCCGACUUAGGUAUCACUUAAUAUUCAAGAAUGUUCUCUACUAUUUGACCUCUUUGUGGCUGAAACAGUAUUCUUCAGACAAUAACCUUAGUGUUUCAAAGCUGGGACCAACACCUGUGGAGUUUCCAAACAAAUGGGCUCAGCGUUCCCUGAUGCACUUCUAGUUACUGCUCCCACAUUUGAUUGUUUUGUAAUUAUUGUUGUAAAACAUGCUAUGAGGUAACACAUGGGGGCAAAAAAAAAAAAAAAAAAAAAAAGAAAAAAGAAAUCACACUGCAGAAUUGUAGGGGAUUUAUGGGAGCUACAAGACAAAGAAUAACCCACCUUUCUUUCUUCAUUGUUUUCCUUGGAAGCCAGCCACUGAAGUUUCCUUGUCAGUAAUACAGGGGUUUGUAAAUAGAACAAAGAGCUUCCUCACACCGAGGCUCAUUAUAUAACCCCAGUGAAGUCAUGGUGUAUCUUCGCAUGCAGUUCCCUUGAACUUUGCAUCUUUCUCCUCCUGAGAACAGCCCUGCAUGCCAGUUUGAACAGAUGUGGUUUCCUUUAGGAAAAGUUUUCUGUUAGGGUCAUUCCAACUUCCCUUUCAGAGCUUUCCAGCUUCACGUGCGCUUUGCUCAGGGGAUUACUACAGUGACCACCCGCUCCAUGUGCUACUGUUAAGCUUCUCCUCACCUGCUGGCUGAGCUGAACGAAUGCCGAAAUCUCUGGUCCAUAGAAAAACCUGACAUUUUGUGUUUUCCUGAAUCAAACCGGAAAGCUGCAAUUUCCUUUGAGCUAAAAUGAUGAGAAACGUCAUUUCAGAAGGAGCAAAACGGCCUUGCUGCAGCCUUUUGUUUGGGUGUUACAGGCAUGUUUUCAAAUGAGACUUCAGCUCGUAAAACACCCCAGGAUCGAAGGGGUCCCAAAGGCAUUCAGGCAGCACCCACUGCCCUGAAGUCAUCAAGGGAGACGUAGAACAUGGCCAGGGUGAUUAGCUGGACAGAUGAAGUUAAGGAGACAUUGCUGGAGAUGUGACUGAACCAGGUGGGGUUUUGUCGUGUCCAAGUAGAUGCAUUCUCUAUUUCCACCUCAGUCCACCAGUUCAACUACAUGUUCCAAGUUCAUGGGAAUAUAGAGUGUUGUUUUUCAGCCUCACUGAAAGCAAAAGCCUUUAAAGUAUGAGGACACGAUUCAAAGACCUUCAGUUGUAUAAGCUGACAUUCUGAUACACUGAGGGCAUACCAAGUGAAAGUGCAUAUCAAGUGUUUCAUAGAUACUGUAUUUCACUACCUAAAGGGAGGCUAUAAGAAAGAAGGGGACAGACUCUUUAGCAGGGUCUUCUGUGACAGGACAAGGGGAAAAGGUUUUUUAUAC